rnacentral:rRNA from 1 species
AUGGGCGAAGCCUGAUGCAGCCAUGCCGCGUGUAUGAAGAAGGCCUUCGGGUUGUAAAGUACUUUCAGUAGGGAGGAAGGUGUUGUAGUUAAUAGCUGCAGCAUUUGACGUUACCUACAGAAGAAGCACCGGCUAACUCCGUGCCAGCAGCCGCGGUAAUACGGAGGGUGCGAGCGUUAAUCGGAAUUACUGGGCGUAAAGCGCAUGCAGGUGGUUCAUUAAGUCAGAUGUGAAAGCCCGGGGCUCAACCUCGGAACCGCAUUUGAAACUGGUGAACUAGAGUGCUGUAGAGGGGGGUAGAAUUUCAGGUGUAGCGGUGAAAUGCGUAGAGAUCUGAAGGAAUACCAGUGGCGAAGGCGGCCCCCUGGACAGACACUG